rnacentral:rRNA from 1 species
GAUGAACGCUGGCGGCGUGCUUAACGCAUGCAAGUCGAACGGAAAGGCCCUGCUUUUGUGGGGUGCUCGAGUGGCGAACGGGUGAGUAACACGUGAGUAACCUGCCCUUGACUUUGGGAUAACUUUACGAGACACGGGCUAAUACCGGAUAGGAGCUCCUGCUGCAUGGGGUGGGUUGGAAAGUUUAGGCGGUGGGGUAUCGACUCGCGGCUUAUCAGCUUGUUGGUGGGGUAGUGGCUUACCAAGGCUUUGACGGGUAGCCGGCGUGAGAGGGUUACCGGCCACAUUGGGACUGAGGUACGGCGCAGAAGCCUACGGGAGGCAGCAGUGGAGAAUAUUGCACAAUGGGCGGAAGCCUGAUGCAGCAACGCCGGGUGCGGGAUGACGGCCUUCGGGUUGUAAACCGCUUUCGCAUGUGACGAAGCGUGAGUGACGGUAAUGGGUAAAGAAGCACCGGCUAACUACGUG